UGAGGAAUAUUGGUCAAUGGGCGUAAGCCUGAACCAGCCAAGUCGCGUGAGGGAUGAAGGUUCUAUGGAUCGUAAACCUCUUUUAUAAGGGAAUAAAGUGUGGGACGUGUCCCGUUUUGUAUGUACCUUAUGAAUAAGGAUCGGCUAACUCCGUGCCAGCAGCCGCGGUAAUACGGAGGAUCCGAGCGUUAUCCGGAUUUAUUGGGUUUAAAGGGUGCGUAGGCGGUCUGUUAAGUCAGCGGUAAAAAGCCCGGGGCUCAACCCCGGCGAGCCGUUGAAACUGGCGGACUAGAGACGGUGAGAGGUAUGCGGAAUGCGCAGUGUAGCGGUGAAAUGCAUAGAUAUUUGCGCAGAACUCCGAUUGCGAAGGCAGCAUACCGGUGCCGGACUGACGCCGAGGCACGAAAAGCGUGGGAUCAAACA
rnacentral:rRNA from 1 species